GGAUUAGGCAUGCGAGUCGCGCGAGAAUGUAGCAAUACAGGAAAGCGGCGAAAGGGAGAGGACAACAUAGGAAUCUGCCCUGGGGUCGAGGAUAGCGUCGGGAAACUGACGGUAAUACUCGAUGAUAUCUUUGGAUCAAAGGAGCAAUCUGCCCCGGGAUGAGCCUAUGCCCCAUUAGCUAGUUGGCGGUGUAAUGGACCACCAAGGCUGUGAUGGGUAGCUGGUGUGAGAGCACGACCAGCCUCACUGGCACUGAGACACUGGCCAGACACCUACGGGUGGCUGCAGUCGAGAAUCUUCGGCAAUGGACGAAAGUCUGACCGAGCGACGCCGCGUGUGGGAUGAAGGUCUUCGGAUUGUAAACCACUGUCGAGGGGGAUUAAGGGCAACUUGAAAGAACCCUGGAGGAAGGGGAGGCUAAGCUCGUGCCAGCAGCCGCGGUAAGACGAGCUCCCCAAACGUUAUUCGGUGUCACUGGGCUUAAAGAGUUCGUAGGCGGCGAAGUAGGUGAGGUGUGAAAGCCCUCGGCUCAACCGAGGAACUGCGCUUCAAACCGCUUUGCUAGAGGGAGAUAGGGGUAAGCGGAACAGAUGGUGGAGCGGUGAAAUGUGUUGAUAUCAUCUGGAACACCGGUGGCGAAAGCGGCUUACUGGGUCUUUUCUGACGCUGAGGAACGAAAGCUAGGGUAGCGAACGGGAUUAGAUACCCCGGUAGUCCUAGCCGUAAACGAUGAGCACUAGUCUGAGGGACUUUCACGGUU
rnacentral:rRNA from 1 species